rnacentral:rRNA from 1 species
CCGAGUAGUGGCGGCGUGCUAAUACAUGCAGUCGAGCGGCAGAAGGGAGCUUGCUCCCGGAUGUUAGCGGCGGACGGGUGAGUAACACGUGGGUAACCUGCCUGUAAGACUGGGAUAACUCCGGGAAACCGGAGCUAAUACCGGAUAGUUCCUUGAACCGCAUGGUUCAAGGAUGAAAGACGGUUUCGGCUGUCACUUACAGAUGGACCCGCGGCGCAUUAGCUAGUUGGUGAGGUAACGGCUCACCAAGGCGACGAUGCGUAGCCGACCUGAGAGGGUGAUCGGCCACACUGGGACUGAGACACGGCCCAGACUCCUACGGGAGGCAGCAGUAGGGAAUCUUCCGCAAUGGACGAAAGUCUGACGGAGCAACGCCGCGUGAGUGAUGAAGGUUUUCGGAUCGUAAAGCUCUGUUGUUAGGGAAGAACAAGUGCAAGAGUAACUGCUUGCACCUUGACGGUACCUAACCAGAAAGCCACGGCUAACUACGUGCCAGCAGCGG